rnacentral:rRNA from 1 species
UACGUAGGGGGCAAGCGUUGUCCGGAAUCAUUGGGCGUAAAGGGCGUGUAGGCGGCCCGGUAAGUCCGCUGUGAAAGUCGGGGGCUCAACCCUCGAAUGCCGGUGGAUACUGUCGGGCUAGAGUGCGGAAGAGGCGAGUGGAAUUCCUGGUGUAGCGGUGAAAUGCGCAGAUAUCAGGAGGAACACCAAUUGCGAAGGCGGCACGCUGGGACGUAACUGACGCUGAGACGCGAAAGCGUGGGGAGCAAACAGG